GAACAUCACCUAUUGUCUUUCUCUCCUGGUUUUAGUGGGUCCACAAAGGGAAAAAAGCGGUGAUUUUUGACAUGGGUAGGUAGAAAAAUACCAGAACAAUUAAUGUAAAAAAUAAAAUAGAAGAUAAUUAAAUGUCCAGUGUGUAAUAAAAACUAAUCACGUGUGGGUGCAUGGAGAGAGAUAGGGUGCUUGUUUGAUACUUUGUUUUUCUUCGUAUGACUGGCUGUGUCUGUGUAGAGAAGAAAUAAUAAAGAUAUUGAUGAGUGGCCAG
rnacentral:misc_RNA from 1 species